GACGAACGCUGGCGGCGUGCCUAACACAUGCAAGUCGAGCGGUAAGGCCCUUCGGGUACACGAGCGGCGAACGGGUGAGUAACACGUGGGCAAUCUGCCCUGCACACUGGGAUAAGCCUGGGAAACUAGGUCUAAUACCGGAUACGACCUCGCAAGGCAUCUCGCGAGGUGGAAAGCUCCGGCGGUGCAGGAUGAGCCCGCGGCCUAUCAGCUUGUUGGUGGGGUAAUGGCCCACCAAGGCGACGACGGGUAGCCGGCCUGAGAGGGCGACCGGCCACACUGGGACUGAGACACGGCCC
rnacentral:rRNA from 1 species